CUAACAAGGAUUCCCCUAGUAACGGCGAGUGAAGCGGGAAGAGCUCAAAUUUGUAAUCUGGCGGCCUCGCGGUCGUCCGAGUUGUAGUCUGGAGAAGYGUUUUCCGCGUCGGACCGUGUACAAGUCCUUUGGAACAGGGCGUCGUAGAGGGUGAGAAUCCCGUCUUUGACGCGGACUGCCGAUGCUUUGUGAUGCGCUCUCGAAGAGUCGAGUUGUUUGGGAAUGCAGCUCAAAUCGGGUGGUAAAUUCCAUCUAAAGCUAAAUAUUGGCAAAAGACCGAUAGCGAACAAGUACCGUGAGGGAAAGAUGAAAAGCACUUUGGAAAGAGAGUCAAAUAGUACGUGAAAUUGUCGAAAGGGAAACGCUUCAAGUCAGUCGCGUCUCUCGGGACUCAGCCGGGUGGUAUUUUUGUAUCGCCUGGUGUAUUUCCCGGGGUUUGACGGGCCAGCAUCGAUUUCGAUCGUCGGAGAAAGGCCUUGGGAACGUGGCACCUUCGGGUGUGUUAUAGCCCUCGGUCGCAUGCGCCGGUCGGGAUCGAGGAUCGCAGCACGCCCCCCGAUUUAAAGGGGGGCCGGGGUUCGCCCACGUAACGUGCUUAGGAUGCUGGCGUAAUGGCUUCAAGCGACCCGUCUUGA
rnacentral:rRNA from 1 species